ACGUAGGGGGCAAGCGUUAUCCGGAUUUACUGGGUGUAAAGGGAGCGUAGACGGUGUGGCAAGUCUGAUGUGAAAGGCAUGGGCUCAACCUGUGGACUGCAUUGGAAACUGUCAUACUUGAGUGCCGGAGGGGUAAGCGGAAUUCCUAGUGUAGCGGUGAAAUGCGUAGAUAUUAGGAGGAACACCAGUGGCGAAGGCGGCUUACUGGACGGUAACUGACGUUGAGGCUCGAAAGCGUGGGGAGCAAACAG
rnacentral:rRNA from 2 species